rnacentral:rRNA from 1 species
UACAGAGGGGGCAAGCGUUGUCCGGAAUUAUUGGGCGUAAAGAGCUCGUAGGCGGACUGUCACGUCUGCUGUGAAAAGCUGGGGCUUAACCCUGGCCUUGCAGUGGAUACGGGCAGACUAGAGGUAGGUAGGGGAGAAUGGAAUUCCCGGUGUAGCGGUGAAAUGCGCAGAUAUCGGGAGGAACACCGGUGGCGAAGGCGGUUCUCUGGGCCUUACCUGACGCUGAGGAGCGAAAGCGUGGGGAGCGAACAGG